CUAAACUGUUCUUCCUAGAGGUCUAGUAAGGGUCAUCUCUUAUUAAUCCAGUGUUACUACAAGAGGAAACCUAAACUAAACUAACUUUAUUUAUACUGGACAGCUCAAUUAACUGUUCUCUCUGGAGGUCCAGUGAGGGUCAUCUGUUAAUUAUGUUUUUUAUAAAUCUCAAGUUUCAUGAAUUCAGAGUGUCAUAUAACAUGCACAUAUCUCUGAACAGCCAAACAAAACAGAAAGAAAUCCGUUUGAGCCAUUCGGUUUUUGUACAAAUUUAUAUGUAAAUUUUCUAAUUUAUACACCACACAUAUUGUGUGUUUAAUGUUUGAAGGUGUCAAAUGAUGAUUAACAUUUGAAUAGAAAACCGUAUGCUAAUGAUAUCUGAAGUUUGUUGUUGCUAGGGUAAAAGCGUAGUGGAAUAUUACCAGACAAGAAAUUCUAGUACGUAAGUGUAUAUAUAUUUUAUUUCAUUAUGUGCCUUUUAUUUUAUGUUUAAUUUAAGAUAGGAUUGAAAAGUG